rnacentral:tRNA from 1 species
GCGGCUUUAGUGUAGUGGUUAUCACGGUUCGUUGUGGUGCGUUUGGGUUUCUUCAUUGUAGAAGGUUUCCUUGUCGCCUGGACCGAGCAGACGGAUGUUCGAUUCCUCCAAGCCGCA